AACACUGGAGGAUCACCAUUUCUGUCUGCUCCAGGGUUCCACCACAGUCUAACUCUGCACGACGAGCAACACAAAACACACAAAAAGAAGAGAACACAAAAUAAGGGAAAUAAGUGGUGUGCUGAGGACACUGGAGGGGCAUUUGCAUGUUGCUGCCGUGGUCAUGUGACCCAAGAUGGCUGUUGUCAGAGAAAGCUCUUGUCUGGGAGAAGAAAGGGGGGUUUGUGGAGUGAUUGAUUCGUAUCCCAGCUGCAGGUUGGAGAAGCAUUGCAUAAGCAUCACAUGGUGAAACUGGGUAGUCAUGUUAGAGAUCAGAUUGGGGCUAAACA